CUUUUUCUGGAUGUCGAGUAUUUCAGACCACUGUAUCAUUGGUGUUUGACAUUGUUUUACCUGGCAAUAAGGAAUUAUAAGGCAGCAAUAUACAGCCUACACAUUACUAUUAUUUGUAAUAACUGAAAAUAUACCAAAAGCCACAGUCUAUCAUUCAGCCGAUGCUGCUGUAGUAAAGCCACAAUCUGUAAAUUUCCACUCACUUUACUGCUGGGAAUUUAAAAGGUCAAACGCAAGUUGCCUUUCCCUCUAACUCAUUAUCUUUUACCACAUGUAAGUUUACCGAAAUGCUACUGUGAUCAAGAACUGUUUUUUUCCAUGCUAACACCACGGUAAAGUUGAUAAUAGGCAGGUGCCAGUGAUCACUGCCCUGUGGAGCUUACAAUCCAAAUCUGGCAUUUCUUGUUUGAAAAUAAAUAUACCUGUGUAUAGAGAGCUGGAAUUUCACAAAAAGUUUUUUAUCCAUCACUUAAGCCAAGUGAAUUUUUUUUUUUUCAGAAUUUAAGACUAACAUUAGCCUUCCAAUUACUUUACUAAAAAUAUAACCCCUUGCAUAACAUAAUUACUUCCUCUUUCCAUAACUU